rnacentral:rRNA from 1 species
GUGGGGAAUAUUGGACAAUGGGCGCAAGCCUGAUCCAGCCAUGCCGCGUGUGUGAAGAAGGCCUUUUGGUUGUAAAGCACUUUAAGCGAGGAGGAGGCUCCUUUAGUUAAUACCUAAAGAGAGUGGACGUUACUCGCAGAAUAAGCACCGGCUAACUCUGUGCCAGCAGCCGCGGUAAUACAGAGGGUGCGAGCGUUAAUCGGAUUUACUGGGCGUAAAGCGUGCGUAGGCGGCUUUUUAAGUCGGAUGUGAAAUCCCUGAGCUUAACUUAGGAAUUGCAUUCGAUACUGGAAAGCUAGAGUAUGGGAGAGGAUGGUAGAAUUCCAGGUGUAGCGGUGAAAUGCGUAGAGAUCUGGAGGAAUACCGAUGGCGAAGGCAGCCAUCUGGCCUAAUACUGACGCUGAGGUACGAAAGCAUGGGGAGCAAACAGGAUUAGAAACCCCAGUAGUCC